GACGAACGCUGGCGGCGUGCCUAAUACAUGCAAGUCGAACGCAGUGGGGACGGGUGAGUAACACGUGGGUAACCUCCCAUCAGAGGGGAUAACACUUGGAAACAGGUGCUAAACCGAUACUGAUGGAUGGACCCGCGGUGCAUUAGCUAGUUGGUGGGGUAACGGCUCACCAAGGCCACGAUGCAUAGCCGACCUGAGGGGGUGAUCGGCCAAACGGGGAGUGAGACACGGCCCAGACGCGUAGGGGAGGCAGCAGUGGGGAUUCUUCGGCAAUGGACGAAAGUCUGACCGGGCAGUGCCGGUGGAGUGAAGAGAGUUUUCGGAUCGUAAAACUCUGUUGUUAGGGAAGCGGUAUCUAACCAGAAAGCCAAGGCUAACUACGUGCCAGCAGCCGCGGUAAUUC
rnacentral:rRNA from 1 species